AUAUGGCCCCAUCCCUGAAGUGGUCUUCGCAAUCCAGAAAAGGAUCCUGAAGUCAAGAUUUCACCUUGAGUUUCAGAUGAUACAUGGACUUGGAUCCACAACAGUGUUGGAAUUGUUAAAGAUUAUGGAGACCUUCAAAGAUGGACUGAAUUCAUUUUGCAUUAGAUGGUUGUGAGCCUAUGGACAAGAAGCAGAAGUUAUGGCUUAAAAGUGAUGUGAUUGUGUGUCAAUUUAACAAGGACUGGAGUUGUGGUGGUUAAUCAUGUUGUCAACUUGAUGGUAUUUAUAAUCAUCAUGGAAAUAAAUCUCUUGGCAUGUCUAUAAAGAAUGAUCCAAAUUAGGCUAAUUAAGUUUGGAAGAAAGACACUAAAUGUAGAUAGAAAAGCUCCAUAGGAUGAUCCUAGGACUGUAUACAAAGGACAAAGCAAACUAAGUGUAUGCAUUUAUCUUUCCAUUCUUCUUUGCUGUAGAUGCACUGUAACUGGCUAACUUAUGCUACCCUUGCAUGACUUUUCAACAGUGAUUAACUCUAAUCCUGUGCCAGAAUAAAUACUUCCUUCCACAAAGUUAUUUGUGUAGGUAUUAUGUCGUGGUGAUGAGAAAAGGAACUAAUACAGGGUGUAAACAAAUUAUUACUUUCACCGUGUUAUCAAAAAGAUGCAUGCUGUGAUGGUAUGAGAUUGGCCUCCAUAGACUGGUAUUUUUGCAUGCUUAGUACCCAGUUAGUGAGAGAUUAGGGAAAGAUUAGGAGGUGUGGCCUUUUGGGAGUAGGUAUGACCAUGUUGGAGUAGGUGUGCUUUGAUGGAGGAAUUAUGUCACUAUGGGUGAGCUUUGAGGAUUCAAAAGCCCACACCAGUUCCAGUAUCUCUCUGUCUGCUACCUGAGGAUCAGAAUAUGAAGCUCUCAGUUACUUACACCUUCAAUAUCAUAACCACCAACAUACCACCAAGCUCCCAACAUGAUGAUAAUAGACUAAGCCUCUGAAAAUGGAAGCAAGCCCCCAAUCAAAUGUUUUCCUUUAUAAGAGUUGCCUUGGCAUGGUGUCUCUUCACAGCAAUAAAACACUUACUAAGAUAUAUGUUUCCAAUAUGAUUUAACAUUGAUGUUCACAGUAUUGAUCAUGUACCUGAGGCAGUAUUUUUAAAGUUUCUCCAGAAAAAAAAACUUUGUUACUAUUUAUAUAUGGUAUUCUUUGGAACUGAGACACCAUUUGAGGAAAACUCUUUAGAGAAAAGAUAUAUAUUUUUUCAAUACAAAUGGUUUUCUUCUCCUCUUAAUUGUUUAUUUAGUUGCUCAUGCUUAUUUGGUAGUUCCAAAUAUUGAGAAACUCAGAAGAACUAUGAGUUUCUUUUUGUAUAUUCCUGAUAUAACAAACUAUCUUAAUCUCAAAAUUUCUGAGUAGUAAUUGACUCCUUGUAAUUCUAGAGAAACUGGCAGUUUAAAGAUCCAGGGACUGUCCAGUUUCCAUUUCUGAUGAGGGCUGCCCUCCCCUCCAAAGGCAGUACCAUGUUACUUUGUAUUUUUUGAAGUGGAGUAUCUGUGUAUAGUCAAACUUUCCUUGAAUUCUUAAGAUUCAGUGAUAUUCCUAUCUCGUCUAUAGCUGGAACUAUGGAUUAAUGCCACUAAACUGGUUUAUGUGAUACCCUCUUUCUCUGGUCUCAGGUUAGAAAACACAGCAUUUUCUAGUAAAAUUGUAUGAAAGAGCAUGAUUAUCACUCAUACCUGCCAGGAAAUAAAGAAGAAAUGGUUUUAAUGACAAUGUUAUCUUCAAAGAUACAUACACAGUAGCCUAAGUUUUUCUCUACCUUGGUCCCACCAUUUUAAAAGUACCUCUAUCUCCAAUAGCGCUAUGAGUUUUUAAUUGGAGGGAUAUUUCAGAUUCAAACAACAUCAUGAGAUGUUCUACAUGCAUGAAGGAAAGGGAGGUUCACUUUCUUCCAUAUGGCUUUUUGUAGGGAGGGCAGGUAUUAGAAAAUAGUGUAAGAAUGGAGUCAAGUGAGAAUUGUGAGUGCUUCUGAGAAAACUUGCAAAAAGAAAACAAGUGUCUUUUUACCUUUGUUUUUUCAAAACCAUAGAAUUCUUCUUGGAUUAUGCUUUCUCUAAUGUGUAGCUGGUAAAAGUGAGUUUAUUUAAUAUUAUUCAUUAGAACUUUUGUUAUGUGUUUAUAUGCCUUUAUGAAAAAAACAUGUUUUGUCACAAGAGGAUUGUCCACCAUGUACAUCUUGACCUUGUGAUUUUACACUUUACUCAUGUGACUCCUCUUAACCUUAAGAGUAUAAAUUGCCUGUUGCUCUAAAUAAAGAUGGCUAUUGCAUGAGAUGUUA